UACGAAGGGGGCUAGCGUUGCUCGGAAUCACUGGGCGUAAAGGGUGCGUAGGCGGGUCUUAAGUCAGGGGUGAAAUCCUGGAGCUCAACUCCAGAACUGCCUUUGAUACUGAAGAUCUUGAGUCCGGGAGAGGUGAGUGGAACUGCGAGUGUAGAGGUGAAAUUCGUAGAUAUUCGCAAGAACACCAGUGGCGAAGGCGGCUCACUGGCCCGGUACUGGACGCUGAGGUGCGAAAGCGUGGGGGCAA
rnacentral:rRNA from 1 species